AAUUAAUUGAAUAUAUUAGGUUCUAUACAAGAAUAAUAGGGAAAUGGGUGGAAACCCCAUACAGCCCCCGCUACUGUAAGUGAUGAUGAAAUCAACUUAUGCCACCGGAAAAUAAAAUCUGGGAAGGCGUUGACAGUAAAAUGAUUCACAAGUCAGGAGACCUGCCUAAUAUUAUCAAAGUGA
rnacentral:ncRNA from 2 species